UGAAUGCUCAAUGCGUGCUGAACGAGAUACGGUUUUUUUCGAUUUUAGCGAGACAUAGAAGAGACUGAUUAUUUGAAUGCUUUGUUUAUUGAACGUCGAAAUGCUUGGGUUAAGGCUUUAAAACGGGUGCCUCUAAAUGAAAUCUAUAUGAGAAAUGAUCGUAUUUGCUUAGGACAUUUCAUAACAGGAAAGUACUUUUACUUUACGUACUGUUUAUGUUUGAUUGAAGAAAAACCAGCUGCCUUGGAAGACAAAACUAAUCCACAUGUGUUGCCUAACUAAAAUUCAGGAUACAUUUCUAGUCUCCAACCAGGUCAAUCGGCCUGCCUACUCCCUAUUAAAAAUAUUUUUAAAAAGAGCCAGAGUAAAGCCAGUGGUCCGAGCUGUAGUUGUUUCUGCAUGAUCCACAAGAAUUUGAUAAUGUUUCAGAAUUUAUUGAAGAAAUUUGAGCAAAGCAGAUUUAUUGAAGCUGUGUUAGUGAGUCAGUUCAAACUGAUGUACCUUACUGAAGAAUAUUCAAGUCGUGUUUUUCAGAAUUUAGAUUUUUGCAAUUCAAUAAUGUGCACCUUGCAAGCAAAAGUUCAAGUGAUGGAUGUAAAUGAGAAUUAUGUUAAAAAUAAAUGCUUUAUCCCUAA